rnacentral:rRNA from 1 species
GGGAGCGGCGGACGGGUGAGUAACACGUGGGCAACCUGCCUGUAAGAUCGGGAUAACUUCGGGAAACCGGAGCUAAUACCGGAUAAUCCUUUUUUCCUGCAUGGGGAAAAGCUGAAAGAUGGCUUCGGCUAUCACUUACAGAUGGGCCCGCGGCGCAUUAGCUAGUUGGUGAGGUAACGGCUCACCAAGGCGACGAUGCGUAGCCGACCUGAGAGGGUGAUCGGCCACACUGGGACUGAGACACGGCCCAGACUCCUACGGGAGGCAGCAGUAGGGAAUCUUCCGCAAUGGACGAAAGUCUGACGGAGCAACGCCGCGUGAGUGAUGAAGGUUUUCGGAUCGUAAAACUCUGUUGUCAGGGAAGAACAAGUACCGUUCGAACAGGGCGGUACCUUGACGGUACCUGGCCAGAAAGCCACGGCUAACUACGUGCCAGCAGCCGCGGUAAUACGUA